UACAGAGGGUGCGAGCGUUGUCCGGAAUCACUGGGCGUAAAGGGUGCGUAGGCGGGUCUUUAAGUCAGGGGGGAAAUCCUGGAGCUCAACUCCAGAACUGCCUUUGAUACUGAAGAUCUUGAGUCCGGGAGAGGUGAGUGGAACUGCGAGUGUAGAGGUGAAAUUCGUAGAUAUUCGCAAGAACACCAGUGGCGAAGGCGGCUCACUGGCCCGGUACUGACGCUGAGGCACGAAAGCGUGGGGAGCAAACAGG
rnacentral:rRNA from 1 species